rnacentral:precursor_RNA from 8 species
UUGCUUUGAAUGAGAAAACUGUCCUGUUUGCACUUGCCUGACUGAGUCUAAAUCUAUGGGCAGAAGGCAGUUUGGACUUGCAGGCAUGUUGCAUCACAAGGCUGCCAAUUCGACUGACUCGGC